rnacentral:rRNA from 1 species
UACAGGAGGGUGCGAGCGUUAAUCGGAAUUACUGGGCGUAAAGCGCGCGUAGGCGGCUUUGCAAGCCGGAUGUGAAAUCCCCGGGCUUAACCUGGGAACUGCAUUCGGGACUGCAUUGCUAGAGUAUGGGAGAGGGAAGUGGAAUUUCAGGUGUAGCGGUGAAAUGCGCAGAUAUCAGGAAGAACACCAAUGGCGAAAGCAGCUUUCUGGGACGGUACUGACGCUGAGACGCGAAAGCGUGGGGAGCGAACAGG